CUUCCGGUCUAGCAUUAUCUGAUAGCAAGACGUGGUGGUAGUGUGGUCUUUUUAUCAUUUUCAACUAACUAGCGAUUGCAAUUUAUAAUAUUAUACAUAUUAUCAACCUUAGUUACAUAAUAGUUUUAGUUUGUUAUAUUUAUACAACAUUUUAGUUAUGAGUUCAACACGCUUUAAGGUGCGAACAUAAUUACUGUUCAUCUCCCGUUCCGGCGGCAGUCGAUCUUUCUUUAGAUCAAACUGAAGAACUCCGAAAGGAGGUGGAGCGCUUGAAGAAGUAGGUGGAAGAGCUGUCUGUCCGUCACAGUUUUUGCUUGGGGCGUUUUGCUGCAUCUGACGAUGACAAUGUCAUUGACAUACGGUUCUUUACUAGGUUUGUGACCUACAGUCAUAUCAUGGCGUUCUGGAGACUCAUUAAGCCUGCAACCAACAGAAUGGUUCGUGUGACAAGGGCAAAAGCAGCUACAAGAAGUGGUGAAGUUGGAGCAACAGGCAAUGCAUCUGGUCACUCCCUAAUGUCGGCUGAUGAGGUAAGAAAGACGCAGUCCAUUGCUCGUCUGAGGGUCCACGUUGAGGGUAUCAUCCGCAGGGUGAAGCAACACAAACUGUUUGAUGCUGUCAUCCCUCUUUCAAUCACACGAAGCAUAAACCAGCUAUACACUGUUGCUUUGCCUUCUUGUCAACUACCAGAAUGGGCCCUUGGUAAAAGCAUGGGCAACGGAUUAAAGACUUUGUAUGAGAUGGAUACAUUUUGAUUGGCAGAGAAUCAUAUGUAAAUUAAAUGUAUUUGCUAUGUAUGUUUUUGUAUUCGAGUAACAGAAGCAUUUCUUUCACAAUGCUAAAGUAAAAACUGUAAUGCAGCAAUGUAAAUAAGUAAUUUUGAUGCAGUUUUAAUGUACACCACUAAUGUAAACAUGUAAAUAACUUUAAAUACUACUAAAGGUAUAGUUCACCCAAAAAUGAAAAUUCUGUCAUCAUUUAUGGAUAAUCUUAAGAA